GCAAUUCUCCUUCAUUAGGAUCAUUUACAAACACUUAAAAACCACCACCACCACAAAUCUGGAGAACCACAUUGACCCACCAGAGAUUUACGAGAGAGAGAGAGAGAAAUAUAAGAGUUUCCGGUCACCACAGCGGCAGUCAGCAUCCGCGACGCAAGUGGUUACUAGGGUUUCUAAGCCUGCGUCUCCAUACUCUGCAACGCCAAAGGGGUUUGAUUGCUCAUAGAGAUGGAUCUGAUGCACUGUAAGCCAUUUUACUUGAACCCCAUUUGUUCUUAGAAUAAAUUUGAUUUUUAUAAGGAAAAUUGCUAAGAAAAAAGAUCACGGUGGUUAAUGAUUGGUUGAGGUGCUGUUCUAUGUUUGCAAAGAGAAUCCUUUGGCUCCUCUCAUUUUGCAUCAAUACAUGAUAUAAUGGGCUUGCUUCAGGAACAUCAGCCAGAAACAUCAUUUACAGAUGGUUGCUUCAGUUUGGAGGGUUGGGUUUAAAGAAUGUCUGCUUGCUGAUGGUCUAUUCUUAGCUAAAGGUGCCAUGGAAUACGGCGUUGUUCUUUCAUACGUUUUGAUUCGAUGGUAUUUAAUUCGAGUUAGUUUCUGUUUAAACCAGCCGAAAUGAGGAAGGGAUUGCCUUGCUUCAAAAGAACCAGAGCUCGCUGGAAAAUCGACAAAAUUAUACACUUCAUUUUUCUCUUUCAUUUCCCCACAUUUCAGAGACAACUAGAAGGGUCAAAAUGUAAAGAACUUUCUCUUUCCAG